AGCGAACGCUGGCGGUAGGCCUAACACAUGCAAGUCGAACGGCAGCACAGUAAGAGCUUGCUCUUACGGGUGGCGAGUGGCGGACGGGUGAGGAAUACAUCGGAAUCUACUUUUUCGUGGGGGAUAACGUAGGGAAACUUACGCUAAUACCGCAUACGACCUACGGGUGAAAGCAGGGGAUCUUCGCACCUUGCGCGAUUGAAUGAGCCGAUGUCGGAUUAGCUAGUUGGCGGGGUAAAGGCCCACCAAGGCGACGAUCCGUAGCUGGUCUGAGAGGAUGAUCAGCCACACUGGAGCUGGGACACGGUCCAGACUCCUACGGGAGGCAGCAGUGGGGAAUGUUGGACAAUGGGCGCAAGCCUGAUCCAGCCAUACCGCGUGGGUGAAGAAGGCCUUCGGGUUGUAAAGCCCUUUUGUUGGGAAAGAAAAGCAGCAGGUUAAUACCCCGCUGUUCUGACGGUACCCAAAGAAUAAGCACCGGCUAACUUCGUG
rnacentral:rRNA from 1 species